rnacentral:lncRNA from 1 species
AGAUGAAGGCUGAAAGAUUGCGAGAAGCUCUCACGCUAGAGUUAGAUGAGAAGGAGAUAAACCUGCGGCGCUAUGUGGUUCUUGGUGGCGUUUUUCACCUUGAUCUUCUUCAGCAGCCGUCGCAAGCACAGCAGCUGGCAAAUAAAUGUUAUUUGACUUUGUUGACAGGACCGCAGAAUAUCCAGCCGAUCAACUAUCUGGAGCUUUAUGAACCUCCAGCGCCAUCUCAAGAUGCAUUGUUGCAAACGAAGACUUCUUCAGAAGAGGAGGAACAUGAAGCUAAAACUAAGAAAGAAGGACUUGAGAAACUUGUCACCAUCAGCAUCGUGUAAGUAGAUGUCAGUAUGUCACUCAGCAGUCAAUGCAAACCCACAAACUAAUUAAUGCUAGCGAUUCCAAAUCGGGUGAUUUAUAAAAUCCUCAAGUGAAGCCUGAUGCAACAUGUUGUAUGAAUUUAUAAUUUCUUCCAAGUAGGGAGGUCUGUCAGUAGAUAAAAUCUGGGGUCUUGAAUUAAGGAUUUUUUGAGAACCACACUCAAAAUUGGAGUUGAAACUUAGAUCGCUUUUUUUUCUAGAGAAUGUCCUUUUGUUCCUUCAUUUUCUUUCAAAUAUUCUUAAUGAAUUAAUUUGUCAAUACAGGCUACCGGAUAAUAUAUUAUGGUUUGAACCACCAACAGUUGUACAAUGGGAUGACCAGCACAAAUAUUGGUCCACUCAAUACAUAUUCGACCAAAAUUUAAUGAAGAAAAACAGGUUGUUGUUUUUCGCGCUGGUCGCAUGCGUCCAUUUGGACUGGCAACGUUCCGAUUCAGCAACCUCCCAUACCAGACUUGGGAAAUCCGACCUGGCCCUGGAAGUACCAUAUCAUUCUCCAUCACAGCCGCCAUUAUCAUCGUUGAAUUUCUCGUCAAAAAUGAUGAAAUUUGCUUGAACCAGCUUCAAAAUGCUACAAGCACAGCACUUCAAGAGUUAGUAGGAAUCUUCUACAAGCCACAUAAAUUAAUGAAGUUGUUAAGGGAAGGCGGCGUAGACUUAUUUCCCCCUGACGACGCUUUUCUUUACCUUGAGAACGCAAGAAACAAACAUCAAAUCACAGAGAACCAUGUCUACCACUGUAUGGCUCUUCUUGCAACUACUCACAUGUUUUCCUGGUCGCGGUGGAAUUACUGGCUGCUCAUGAGAAUAUUGUCUUUCAAAUCAAAGAAUUGGCACGGCAAACGAAACAAAAACUGA